GUCGAGCGGGGGAAGGUAGCUUGCUACCGGACCUAGCGGCGGACGGGUGAGUAAUGCUUAGGAAUCUGCCUAUUAGUGGGGGACAACAUCUCGAAAGGGAUGCUAAUACCGCAUACGUCCUACGGGAGAAAGCAGGGGAUCUUCGGACCUUGCGCUAAUAGAUGAGCCUAAGUCGGAUUAGCUAGUUGGUGGGGUAAAGGCCUACCAAGGCGACGAUCUGUAGCGGGUCUGAGAGGAUGAUCCGCCACACUGGGACUGAGACACGGCCCAGACUCCUACGGGAGGCAGCAGUGGGGAAUAUUGGACAAUGGGGGGAACCCUGAUCCAGCCAUGCCGCGUGUGUGAAGAAGGCCUUAUGGUUGUAAAGCACUUUAAGCGAGGAGGAGGCUACUCUAGUUAAUACCUAGGGAUAGUGGACGUUACUCGCAGAAUAAGCACCGGCUAACUCUGUGCCAGCAGCCGCGGUAAUACAGAGGGUGCGAGCGUUAAUCGGAUUUACUGGGCGUAAAGCGUGCGUAGGCGGCUUAUUAAGUCGGAUGUGAAAUCCCCGAGCUUAACUUGGGAAUUGCAUUCGAUACUGGUGAGCUAGAGUAUGGGAGAGGAUGGUAGAAUUCCAGGUGUAGCGGUGAAAUGCGUAGAGAUCUGGAGGAAUACCGAUGGCGAAGGCAGCCAUCUGGCCUAAUACUGACGCUGAGGUACGAAAGCAUGGGGAGCAAACAGGAUUAGAUACCCUGGUAGUCCAUGCCGUAAACGAUGUCUACUAGCCGUUGGGGCCUUUGAGGCUUUAGUGGCGCAGCUAACGCGAUAAGUAGACCGCCUGGGGAGUACGGUCGCAAGACUAAAACUCAAAUGAAUUGACGGGGGCCCGCACAAGCGGUGGAGCAGGUGGUUUAAUUCGAUGCAACGCGAAGAACCUUACCUGGCCUUGACAUACUAGAAACUUUCCGAAAAUGGAUUGGUGCCUUCGGGAAUCUAGAUACAGGUGCUGCAUGGCUGUCGUCAGCUCGUGUCGUGAAAUGUUGGGUUAAGUCCCGCAACGAGGGCAACCCUUUUCCUUACUUGCCAGCAUUUCGGAUGGGAACUUUAAGGAUACUGCCAGUGACAAACUGGAAGAAAGGCGGGANCGACUUCAAGUCAUCAGGGCCCUUACGGCCAGGGCUACCCCNGUGCUACAAUGGUUCGGUNNAAAGGGUUGCUACACCGNNUUUUGNNGCUUAUCNNAAAAGCCCAUUUUUUUUCCCGGAUGGGAUC
rnacentral:rRNA from 1 species